rnacentral:lncRNA from 1 species
AGUCUAAUAGAAGUACCACCUAUGUUUGACUUUAAACUAAAGAAGUUGUUUGCGAGAACAUUUAGUGAUACUGUCGAAAGAAAUUUCAGUGUUACAAAUAGCUGAUUUAUCGUUAUUGGCUUUAUUUUCAGAACAGCUUCUCUUCUGCAGCCAUGGUCAAAUAGUGCAAGGAAUAUGAUGGUAGGCUGAUCAUGAAGAGGAAUAAUAGAAUCAACCUGUUCUGAACUUAUUGGCAGGUUGCUGUGCUGCUUUUUAAGAGAGAGAAAAAUCCCUGAAAAAACAGCCUCUGUCUUGAAGCAUUUUUCAACACGAUCUCAUGGAUGUUUACUUAGACGUAAAUCCCACUGAAUUCAAGGGUGCUUACCUGCAAUUCUGUCACAAUCAUCUUGUACAACAUCCUAUUGUUUUGCAUGGCUUGUUAGUGACAGAUAUAUGGCAGCUUUGGAUGAGGCACAAAUGUUCAAAUCACCCAGCAGGAACAUGGAGACUGGCAAACUUCCAGCAGAAGCUUAAGGAAAUGCCUAGGUUUAUGGGAGAUUUUUUCACAGAUAAGAAGAUGAGGAGGACGAGAGAAAGCGAUGGACAUGGGAACUGAUCUGGGAUGUACUACUGUUAUCCUCCUGCUGGAGAGGCUCAACAAGGAUGUGUUAUGGGAACUAAGUCAGACGUAUUCAAGUAACAUUGUUUUCACAGAUACCAGGGACUUGUUUUAGUUUGUUAUCCAUAAAGCCAUAUGCUUAGCUCUUACAUCUUCUCACCUCAUCAUAUUGUUCUGGACGUCAUCUCUGACAGCUACAUGGUUUAACCAAUCCUCUGCAUAGUUUGUGGGUCAGAUAAGAUCAGCCCAAGAUAUUUUUCUGCCUGAGGCAAAGGAACCAAUCAUGUCACUCACCCAAGUGAAGGCAAGAGGUAAAGGUUACCCUUGACAUUUUUAGUCCAGUCGUGUCUGAUUCUAGGGGGUGGUGCUCAUCCUGUUUUCAAGCCGUAGAGCCAGCGCUUGUCCAAAGACAGUUUCCAUUGUCAUAUGGCCAGCGUGACUAGGGAGUGCCGUUUUACCUUCCCACCGAGGUGGUACCUAUUCAUCUACUCGCAUUUACAGGCUUUCGAACUGCUAGGUUGGCGAGAAGCUGGGACAAAGCGAUGGGAGCUCACUCCAUCGCGUGGAUUUGAUCCUAUGACUGCUGGUCUUCUGACCCUGCAGCACAGGCUUCUGCGGUUUAGCCCACAAUGCCACCACAUCCCCAUUAAGUAAAGGCAAGUAGUACCUAAAUUCAGUUUAUUUUGACACAAAAAGUAGGAAACUCCACAUGUGCCUAUUUUUACUGCUCCCUGGCAGUAAAAAAAAAAUAGAAAAAUAAGAUAAGCAACACUUUGCUGUCCUUUCAUAACAUCCGAAAUCUGCUGCCCGAGGAGGAUCCUUCACUCUGCCUAAGAAUGAAGCUGGCACUGGUUUCAGAAAAGACUACAGAACAGGCUGGUUAAACAAGGAUGCUCCCUCACAUAGUUGAGUUGGGAUGUUGUAGAAAAGCAACAAAUUAUUUGUUAUUCAUUUGUAAUUCUAAUUUUGCUCCCAGGAAAAGGUAUGUGCAGGCUUUUCUAUCUUUGAGUGGAAGAUAACUUGGCCAGCUUUGGUCAGUGCUCUGCUCUCUCAGCUUAGGGAAUGGCUGCCAUUUUUGGUCCCACCUCAGCUCCAAAAUACCUUGGGUUGGCCCUGAUAUCAUGUGUUCUCUAUGCAGGGCGACUCAUCCUGUCCCUUUGACUUCAGAAACCCCCUCAUCUGUGAGCUACAAACCACUUUAUGUUUCAUUGACUCUGAAGAAAAGGUCCAGGUGGCUGCUCCUGCUGUGAUCGAACCUUAGUAAUUAAUGUUGUGCCUGUCACACGUAGGUUUAAGAAAAUCAUAUUUUGGCUUCCACCACCCUUCAUCAGCUCCAUCUGUUUGUCAGAAACAAGUAGCAGAAGGGUGAGGAAAAACUAUGCUUUAUUUCAUUUCUACACCUAAAAUAAAUCUGUUUUGCUUGGACUUGCA